rnacentral:rRNA from 1 species
UACGUAGGUGGCGAGCGUUGUCCGGAUUUACUGGGCGUAAAGAGCGCGCAGGCGGCUGGUCAAGUCCGAUGUGAAAGCUCCCGGCUUAACUGGGAAAUUGCAUCGGAAACUGAUCGGCUGGAAGGUGGGAGAGGGUAGCGGAAUUCCCGGUGUAGUGGUGAAAUGCGUAGAUAUCAGGAGGAACACCUGUGGCGAAAGCGGCGCACUGGACCACAACUGACGCUGAGGCGCGAAAGCUAGGGGAGCAAACAGG